CUGCCUAUGUGAGAUGGGUUGCUUUGGAAACUGAGACAUGAUUAGAAAUGGUAGACAUGUCUACUAAUGGUUGACAUGAUAGAGAUGUCAUGACUUCUUACAAAGGAGCACAAGGUGGAUGGAUACAUACAGAACAUAUCUGCUUCAUCAUGGACAGCGACCCACACCAACCUGAUUGCCCAGAGCAUGCAUGGCCAUUUAUACAUCCAGACACGAUCAUCAUCUGAAGUGAGAAUACAAAAUAAAGCUUUGGUUCCUUAAUGUGCAAA